AUCCCUAAUCCAAAAUAUUCCAAAUAAUCCAAAAGCGUCUACAUAAUUACCCAAAAAAUUCUUAAAUUAAAAUUAUACAAAUGUUACAAAUAAUCCCAAAAAAAAGACUUACACAAUUAAUCCAAAAGUUUACAUAGUCCAAAAGUACACUUAUACAUUAUCCAAAAGGUUCUGUGUAACAUCAAAAUAAAUUUUAAAAAAAGUUUAAAUAAGCUGUAAAUCCAUCAGUUUGAGGACGAAGCUUGCAAAACCAUUGCCAAAAAAAUUCUUUUGAAAUUCACAGCGCCCCCAAAUCCAACAGGCGCAGGCUCCUCUCAAAUCAAUGUCUCUUCACCUUUUACAAACCUACAAAAAUCAACUUAGAGGUUAAAAUGGCUUAUCAAAUAAGCGCUUAAAGAAAACUAGAAAACAAUUGAUAAAAUGAACGGAUUAAUAUUUUGCACAGUGAACCAAAGUGAACACCCAAGAAUGUGUUCCAUUAUCCAAUUAAAACAACCUUGAAUCCACUGAACAAUCAUCCCAUAAAAUAUGGAAAAGAGAUAACCUAACAAGUUAUCUCAAAACCUAAAAAUUCACCAUAUAUGAAACAACAACAGAGAUUAACAGGAGGGGACGGUUUUGAGAAUCCAGGAAGAAAUCAAAAAAAUAAUUUUUAAACAUUUUAACACAUAACAUUCAAAGAAACCAAGACAGCAUUCAACAAAACAACAUCCAAAACAAACAAAUAGAGAAAGACUUAUCUCAAACGGAGCAGGGGAGCGUCGCCGGCGAUUAACCUUGACCAAGUAAAAUCUUCAUUCCCAUUUAAACUGUUUGCACCAUCAUCUUCGCCUUUCCACACUGAUUGAAACCCCUAUAUUAAUCUCUUCAAAUCGUGACUUUAGAGGGACGAAUUCCAAAACUUAGGGUUAGGUUUUUUCUUCACAUGUUUGCCCUAUUGCUGUGGUUAGGAUGAGUUCGGAAUUUUGUUGGCCGCGAGAGAUAGAACGUUAGGUUUAGGUUUAGGUUGGUGUUUUCUUUUGGAGCGUCGAUCCGGCCAUUUGAAGCGGAUUUUGGAAGAAGGGAGGUCAGAUUUGGAUUCAGAAGCCCAAAAGAGGUGGGGUAUGUGUUUGGUUUUUUAGGUUUAGGGUUAAGGGUCAACGGAGAAGAAGGCGGCGCCGCCGCGGUUGGCCGGCCGCCACCGUCUUCUCCGGCAGGUUUGGCCGGGGGUGAUGACGAAGGAAGAAGCUCAAGUUGCAGAGCGUUAUUGAGGUGUGAAGAUUGAAGAGAGAGAAGGAAG
rnacentral:lncRNA from 1 species